rnacentral:lncRNA from 13 species
CGUGUCUAAAACUGAGUUCUACUAUCCUGCGAUCUCAUCACAUCUGUCAACGCUUGCAAGAUUUACGUUUGAAUAUGUGUAUGAUCUCAUCAUAAAAUAUGUAAUUUCCACAUUUGAUGUCGAUAUGGUGGUGGGGAUUAUAAAAUAAAAAGAACUUUAAAAACGUUACUCUCAUCAGUUGCUCAUUGUUAGCGGAUAACUCUUGAAAAAUACGAGAGAAAUGGCGAACUACUACGUUCCAAUCCAAACCGAAGCAUGCGAGAAAUCACCGAAACAUGUGAGAAAUCAACGCCACCACGAUACACAUCACACAUUUUGGGGAGAAGGUUUGCACUAACUCCUACAUCUUAUAAAUGAUUGGAUAUCGGAAUCAACGCAGGAUCUAUAUCCUACGUGGAAUUGGUGCUGGGUGACAACCGCGGAAAUCAAAUUGCUCUGCUUUAUAAAACGUGGAGAUCGUUGAUUGAGAAACGUAUGGACAUCGAGGGACUUAUGCAGUCAAAAAUGGCUCCAUUAUUGAUUCACGAACUGAUUGUGCAGCAGAUUAAACUGCGUGAAGA